rnacentral:rRNA from 1 species
CUUCCGUAGGGGAACCUGCGGAAGGAUCAUUACAGAAUGAAAAGUGCUUAACUGCAUUUUUUCUUACACAUGUGUUUUUCUUUUUUUGAAAACUUUGCUUUGGUAGGCCUUCUAUAUGGGGCCUGCCAGAGAUUAAACUCAACCAAAUUUUAUUUAAUGUCAACCGAUUAUUUAAUAGUCAAAACUUUCAACAACGGAUCUCUUGGUUCUCGCAUCGAUGAAGAACGCAGCGAAAUGCGAUAAGUAAUAUGAAUUGCAGAUAUUCGUGAAUCAUCGAAUCUUUGAACGCACAUUGCGCCCUUUGGUAUUCCAAAGGGCAUGCCUGUUUGAGCGUCAUUUCUCCCUCAAACCCUCGGGUUUGGUGUUGAGCGAUACGCUGGGUUUGCUUGAAAGAAAGGCGGAGUAUAAACUAAUGGAUAGGUUUUUUCCACUCAUUGGUACAAACUCCAAAACUUCUUCCAAAUUCGACCUCAAAUCAGGUAGGACUACCCGCUGAACUUAAGCAUAUCAAUAAGCGGAGGAA